GAGGGUACAGCUCAGUGGUAGAAUGUGUGCUUAGCAUGCACAAGGUCCUGGGUUCAAUCCCCAGUACCUCCA
rnacentral:tRNA from 1 species